UCCAAAGUGUACGGAGUAAGUGGCAGAGCUCCAGUUGUAAGCCAGGUUUUUCUUUUUUCAAACCUUUAGCUUUUGAGAAGUACUGCCUCUGCUUUUCUGGAGCUUACAAAGGUAAUUGGAAAACAUAGCCUCUGAAAUGACAUCAGAGCAUCUUGAAAUCAUUAAUUAGCAAAUGCAGAUUAACCUGGUUGGUGUGAAUGGAAGUGCUGAAUGGCUGGGAGGGAAACCAGAGGAAGAGCUAUGUGGGGGAAAGACAGGGCAGAGUAGAGUGAUCUGAGGUGGGUUCACCCAGACUUCCUAGAGACGACUUUUUAACUAGGUUUCAGCUGAUAUAUGCUGGAUGAUGGUGAAGAAAAAUAACGGCAGCAGUGUGCCCGUUGGAGAACAUGCACCUUCUGUAAGACUCCUCUGAAGCUACAGUGGCCACAACCCAGGUCUGACCAGAGACAUAGGUAGGACUUUCCUGUGCGGAGCUUCCAGGAAGCCAUUGUUCUCCUGAUAAAAAGAGGUUAUCCCAUCAGCAAAGGGCCAUUUUGAGAAGUUGUCUGGCCAUUCACACAACGUGUGGACUGCUGGGGUUCUUCCAGAAUUGGUACAAAACUGGAAGAAGAGAUAUGUGGUCUCGGAGGUACCUAACAGGGUGGCAGUCUUGAAGAUAGCAACCUGAGUUUCCAGUGGGAGACUUGGCCCUGGUUCUGAAGAAGGCAGAGCAGACCUUACUCAAAUCAUUAUGUUUAUGUGUUCUAACUUGUCUGGAGGCUACCUGGAGGACCAACACAAGCUCCUGGAAUCAAGGAAAUCUCUUCAAGGCACUAACGAACAUGGCCAAAGGAACUGAGACUUCAGUAACUAUACACAACAAGAAAUAUGGCCUCUACAAAAAUCAGUAAAUAAAUGGACUUGUCAAUAAAUAGAAAUUUAUUUACUUCUCAGUAAAUAAAUGGACUUUUCAAUAAAUUGAAAAGUCAGUAAACAAAUGGACAACUGCAGCCUUCAGCGAUCAGAACAGCAAACCCUGGAGAAGAAAGAAUAUAUGAUUUCUCAAUUUAUAAAAUUUAAAUAUACAAUUGUCAACAAAACUCACAAAUUAUACAAAGAUACAAGGAAAUCUGGCCCAUUCAAAGGAUAAAAAUAAAUUGACAGAAACUCUCCACGAAGAUGGAGAAGGCAAUGGCAACCCACUCCAGUACUCUUGCCUGGAAAAUCCCAUGGAUGGAGGGGCCUGGUGGGCUGCA